rnacentral:rRNA from 1 species
UACGUAGGGGGCAAGCGUUGUCCGGAAUCAUUGGGCGUAAAGCGCGUGUAGGCGGCCCGGUAAGUCCGCUGUGAAAGUCGGGGGCCCAACCCUCGAAUGCCGGUGGAUACUGUCGGGCUAGAGUGCGGGAGAGGCGAGUGGAAUUCCUGGUGUAGCGGUGAAAUGCGCAGAUAUCAGGAGGAACACCAAUUGCGAAGGCAGCUCGCUGGAACGUAACUGACGCUGAGACGCGAAAGCCAGGGGAGCGAACGGG